GACUUGAGACUCGGUUAAGCAAGAUGUUACUGACAAAGCCAGCAGCUAGAAGGCGUAUUUAAAUAGUUUAUGAACAUUAUCUAUAAACCAUGGGGCAGAUGUUUCUUGUUGGUGGACACUGAAGGAGAAAUUUCUCCUGUGAAAAAGUCAGGAGAGGGUGGCAGAAGGAACUUCAACUUUGGUUUCAGACUAAGCUACUCAUGGAAAGGAUUACAUUUUAGUACUCUCAUAUUUCAAGUGCCUGAUGUAGUUUGUCUGAGUCACAGGGGAAGCUUCAUACAUGACGAAAUACCACCAGGUUCCAGAUGUUACCAUGAUGCCAACCAGACUUCCCUGGAUAGCAAACCCCACCAAUGUGUCCUGGAGUCCCACUUCCCCAGACCCCUGCCUCACUAGGGAAAGAGAGAGACAGGCUGGGAGUAUGGAUCGACCUGUCAAUGCCCAUGUUCAGCGGGGAAGCAAUUAUAGAAGCCAGACCUUCCAUCUUCUGCAUCCCACAAUGACCUUGGGUCCAUGCUCCCAGAGGGAUAAAGAAUAGGAAAGCUAUCAGGGGUGAGGAUGGGAUACAGAGUUCUUGUGGUGGGAAUUGUGUGGAGUUGUACCCCUCUUGUCCUAUG